AGGGCGCAGCUGAUCCAGCCAUUCCGCGUGCAGGACGAAGGCCUUCGGGUUGUAAACUGCUUUUGUGCAGAACGAAAAGCUCUGGGUUAAUACCUCGGGGUCAUGACGGUACUGUAAGAAUAAGCACCGGCUAACUACGUGCCAGCAGCCGCGGUAAUACGUAGGGUGCGAGCGUUAAUCGGAAUUACUGGGCGUAAAGCGUGCGCAGGCGGUUAUGUAAGACAGAGGUGAAAUCCCCGGGCUCAACCUGGGAACUGCCUUUGUGACUGCAUAGCUAGAGUACGGCAGAGGGGGAUGGAAUUCCGCGUGUAGCAGUGAAAUUCGUAGAUAUUCGGAGGAACACCAGUGGCGAAGGCGGCUCACUGGUCCAUUACUGACGCUGAGGUGCGAAAGCGUGGGGAGCAAAC
rnacentral:rRNA from 1 species